UCUAAUGCAUAUAACAGCAAGUGCAAAGUCUAUUGAGACCGUUUGACUUGUGCAGCUUACGUGACAGACACAUUCUAAAUAUACAUGCUAGGUAAAAUGGCAAAAACUGUGCAUGGGUCACAUUUACAUAAACUUUGAACAAGUGGAUAUCAAUACGAAACGGGUAUUUGCUGGCAUCUUGCACCUGUUACGAAGUACGACCUUUUUGAAUUAAACUUAUCAACAGAUGUUCCAGAAACGAAGCAGGACAAAGCAUAUAUUACAUCCAACUAUCAGCCAAUUAUCAGAGGAUAAAUGACUGUCGACAUCUACGCAUUUGGCUAUAAUGUAAAAGCCGCUACGGGCUACAUUGUUGAAGGAAUUAAUUGGAUCAGAUACGUUUGUUUUCCAAUUAUAUAUUGACAUUCUUCUAUAUAGAAUAUAUAGACCGUAAAGGAAGUGCAAUCAUCUCUGAUAUUGGUACAUCCGGGAGUUCGGUAGUGAUAUUAUUAUGGCCAAUAUGGUGGGCAGGCACCGGUGGAAACUGUUCUAUUUACUUGUAGUCGUUGGACUCCUGGGACUAAAUGUGUAUUUUUUGAGUUCUUUAUACCCCAGUUCACAAGCCAGUCCACCCCAGGAAUACGGAUUCAAUGAGAACGACGAAAGCUCUCUUGAUGAGCUUAGAAACAUCGUUUACGAAUUAGAGGAAUCUAUCAAACUAAAUGAAACCACAACUAUCAAACCAACUCCAGACUUUGGGAUGAAGUAACAUGUGACGUCAUAAUGACGUAACGUCAUAUUGUUCCGGUUUGCUCUUGCUUCGGAGAGUUUUGUGACUACUUUUCGGCUUUUGGAGCGUUUUUUUUUUUAAUUUUAAUAUUUUUAAAAAUGAGAC